UGAUUGUCUAGGUGGCUAUAGAGAGAGGGAAACGCCUGGCUCCAUUCCGAACCCAGAAGCUAAGCCUCUCAUCGCUGAUAAUACUGAUCCUUGCAGGAUUGGAAACGUAGGUCGCUGCCUAGUUGAUCAAUUUUACU
rnacentral:rRNA from 1 species